AGAGUUUGAUUAUGGCUCAGGAUGAACGCUAGCGAUAGGCCUAACACAUGCAAGUCGAGGGGCAGCACAUGAAGUAGCAAUACGGAUGGUGGCGACCGGCGCACGGGUGAGUAACGCGUAUGCAACCUGCCUACAACAGGGGAAUAACCCGUUGAAAGACGGACUAAUACCCCAUAACACAGGGAUCCCGCAUGGGAAUAUUUGUUAAAGAUUUAUCGGUUGUAGAUGGGCAUGCGUUCCAUUAGCUUGUUGGUGAGGUAACGGCUCACCAAGGCAACGAUGGAUAGGGGAACUGAGAGGUUUAUCCCCCACACUGGUGCUGAGACACGGACCAGACUCCUACGGGAGGCAGCAGUGAGGAAUAUUGGUCAAUGGACGCAAGUCUGAACCAGCCACGUCGCGUGAAGGAAGACGGCCCUACGGGUUGUAAACUUCUUUUGUAAGGGAAUAAAGUGCAGUACGUGUACUGUUUUGCAUGUACCUUACGAAUAAGGAUCGGCUAACUCCGUGCCAGCAGCCGCGGUAAUACGGAGGAUCCGAGCGUUACCCGGAUUUAUUGGGUUUAAAGGGUGCGCAGGCGGGAGAUUAAGUCGGCGGUGAAAUUUUGCAGCUCAACUGUAAAAGUGCCUUCGAAACUGGUUUUCUUGAGUGUGGAUGAAGUAGGCGGAAUUUGUGGUGUAGCGGUGAAAUGCAUAGAUAUCACGAGGAACUCCGAUUGCGCAGGCAGCUUACUAAACCAUAACUGACGCUCAGGCACGAAGGCGUGGGGGAUCAAACAGGAU
rnacentral:rRNA from 1 species